GUUCACAGUAACUGCUCAAAAUAAAGACCCAGUAUCACGGAAUCAUAGAAUCGUGGGAUUAUUAAGGUUGGAAAAGACCACUAAUAUCAUCCAGUCCAGUCACUGACCCGUCACCACCAUCACCAUAUCGUGCAGCUCACACGGAAAGGAGGAUGCUUUUCAAUGUAGAGCACUUUGCCACGAGUCCUCCCCUUUUUAACGACUGCCGGCUGCUUUUCUUCCAAAGGGAAGUUUUGCAAAGUGCUGUUUGGUUUUGUUUCAGAUCGAACGCAAUAAAACCCUUCAAGGAAACGCGGCAUGCGGCAUUGUUCUCAUGCUCCUCGAACAUUUGAAGGACCCCUCGGAAGGAAUGUGCACUGGGAGAUAGAGGGAGGAAGCAGGAAAAAAAUAUAUAAGAAAUAUCAGGGAGACCCGGUCGGCAUGAAUCAUUUCAGACUCUCUGUUGAACCUGCGGUACCCUGCCGUGCUGAAGUUGGCGCAAGCGCAGAGCCCACGGAAUACAGGUCCUUGCAGAUAUGGAAAGCUCGAAGGCUGUGGGAAUUGACGAGCUCUGUGUCCUCGUGUGUCUGUCCAUUGACCAGUUACGUAAGGCUCUAGCUGUGCAUAGCAACUCAGUACUGAAAGGCGUUACUGAUACUUAGAGGGAAAAAGCGAGAAAAAAAUAUUUAAGUGGUGUUGGUAUUUGUAUUGUUAUUGGUUUGGGUAUUAGUAUUAACGUUAGUGUUAGUAUUUAGUUUCCCCACUUCUAUUCCCACCGCCAUGGAGAGGACUGCUGCACUGCACCCCCAGCACUGUGUGCUGGCUGCAGUCUGGAGGCUGCUAAAAGUUUUCCAUUCAACAUGUAUCCAUUGGCUGGUUGUUGUCCUGCCAUAGACAACACACCCAGUUAGGUACAGUGAUGCUCCUUUCUCUGAAAUGAGAAAUCUGCAAAGGAAGGACUCGUUUCCAUAAAUGCCUUUCCUGGUUAAUGCACACUGCAGCUUUUGUUCUGUUCCUGCAUUUCUAUGACAAUACAUACAGUGGGAAAACGAUUAUGCUUGGAAAACUAAUUAAUGCACAUUGAAGCCUUGCAUGUAUACCAUGACUUGGAGAGAUUGCAAGGGAUGUCAGCAUAGCAACUGAGCUGUUCUGGUUUCUCAGAUAAAGACGUAUUUGCUACAAAGUUCAGAACUGCUUUGUGAAGAAACAUCGUUAUCAGAUAAUAUGGACAAAAAUAUCCCAUCCAGUUUUUACUUUUAGUGAAAGAGACAUGCCAUCAAGGUGAGACUGGAAACAUACAUCAUUUCUCUAAGCUUUAAAACCCUUCCUAAGGUUAAGAUGCAUUGAGCAGCUCUCGAAGGGCCGACCUGCAGAGUGCCCUUUAAUUGCACGUUACUGUCUUAUGGCGUCCCCAUAGCACGUGAGCUACGCUGCAUUCUGUAACUGAGGGACCCCGCUGCGGGGAGUACCCCAGGGCACCCCCAGACACCUACAAGUACCCCGCAGAGAGAGGGAAAGUGGAAAACACCAGCAACCCUGAGCCCCUGGCAUACUUAAGCACUGACUUAAGUCUUUCUUUAGAGGUUUUAGGACUUCAGCUGGCCUCGAGCUCAGGGCA
ensembl:lncRNA